GAUGAAGAACGUAGCGAAAUGCGAUAAGUAAUGUGAAUUGCAGAAUUUAGUGAAUCAUCGAAUCUUUGAACGCAUAUUGCGCCCGCCAGCACUCUGGCGGGCAUGCCUGUUCGAGCGUCAUUUCAACCCUCAGGCCUCGCGUCUGGCGUUGGGGCGCUGCGGCCCUCCCGCAGGCCCCCAAAUUUAGCGGCGGAUUCCCCGCGGCCCUGAGCGCAGUAGAGAGUAAAAACUUUAACGCUCCGGCGGCCGUGGCGCGGUUCUGCCUCUUUCCCAAUAGCGCCAAUAGCGCCACCCCCAAAAAAGUUGACCCCGGAUCAGGUAGGACUACCCGCUGAACUUAAGCAUAUCAAUAAGCGGAGGA
rnacentral:misc_RNA from 1 species